UAGGGAAUCUUCGGCAAUGGGGGCAACCCUGACCGAGCAACGCCGCGUGAGUGAAGAAGGUUUUCGGAUCGUAAAGCUCUGUUGUAAGUCAAGAACGAGUGUGAGAGUGGAAAGUUCACACUGUGACGGUAUCUUACCAGAAAGGGACGGCUAACUACGUGCCAGCAGCCGCGGUAAUACGUAGGUCCCGAGCGUUGUCCGGAUUUAUUGGGCGUAAAGCGAGCGCAGGCGGUUAGAUAAGUCUGAAGUUAAAGGCUGUGGCUUAACCAUAGUACGCUUUGGAAACUGUUUAACUUGAGUGCAAGAGGGGAGAGUGGAAUUCCAUGUGUAGCGGUGAAAUGCGUAGAUAUAUGGAGGAACACCGGUGGCGAAAGCGGCUCUCUGGCUUGUAACUGACGCUGAGGCUCGAAAGCGUGGGGAGCGAACAGGAUUAGAUACCCUGGUAGUCCACGCCGUAAACGAUGAGUGCUAGGUGUUGGAUCCUUUCCGGGAUUCAGUGCCGCAGCUAACGCAUUAAGCACUCCGCCUGGGGAGUACGACCGCAAGGUUG
rnacentral:rRNA from 1 species